rnacentral:lncRNA from 1 species
UGGGAAGUAGGAUAGUAAUCACAACCAGGAACUUGGAGGUUGCAUAUUAUUGUAAGAAAUCAUCUCUUGUUCGCGUGCACAAGUUGCAACCCUUGCCUUCAAAUAAAGCAUGGGAACUCUUCUGCAAGAAGGCGUUUCAGUUUGAUCUCAAUGGAAAUUGUCCACCAGAGCUAGAAGAGAUGUCUAGUGAAAUUGCUAAAAAAUGUGAGGGGUUACCACUUGCAAUUGUGGCCAUUGGGGGUCUUUUGUCAACCAAAGACAAAACUGUGUUUGAAUGGAAAAGACUAUGCCAAAACCUUAACUUUGAGCUGAGGACAACAUGGGAAGUAGGAUAGUAAUCACAACCAGGAACUUGGAGGUUGCAUAUUAUUGUAAGAAAUCAUCUCUUGUUCGCGUGCACAAGUUGCAACCCUUGCCUUCAAAUAAAGCAUGGGAACUCUUCUGCAAGAAGGCGUUUCAGUUUGAUCUCAAUGGAAAUUGUCCACCAGAGCUAGAAGAGAUGUCUAGUGAAAUUGCUAAAAAAUGUGAGGGGUUACCACUUGCAAUUGUGGCCAUUGGGGGUCUUUUGUCAACCAAAGACAAAACUGUGUUUGAAUGGAAAAGACUAUGCCAAAACCUUAACUUUGAGCUGAGGAGAAAUCCCCAUUUAACUAGUUUGACAAGAA